UACGGGGGGGGCAAGCGUUGUUCGGAAUUACUGGGCGUAAAGGGCUCGUAGGCGGCCAACUAAGUCAGACGUGAAAUCCCUCGGCUUAACCGAGGAACUGCGUCUGAUACUGGAUGGCUUGAGUUCGGGAGAGGGAUGCGGAAUUCCAGGUGUAGCGGUGAAAUGCGCAGAUAUCAGGAAGAACACCGAUGGCGAAGGCAGCUCUCUGGGACGGUACUGACGCUGAGACGCGAAAGCGUGGGGAGCGAACAGG
rnacentral:rRNA from 1 species